rnacentral:rRNA from 1 species
GAUGAACGCUGGCGGCGUGCCUAAUACAUGCAAGUCGAGCGAACGGACGAGAAGCUUGCUUCUCUGAUGUUAGCGGCGGACGGGUGAGUAACACGUGGAUAACCUACCUAUAAGACUGGGAUAACUUCGGGAAACCGUAGCUAAUGCCGGAUAAUAUUUGAACCGCAUGGUUCAAAAGUGAAAGACGGUCUUGCUGUCACUUAUAGAUGGAUCCGCGCUGCAUUAGCUAGUUGGUAAGGUAACGGCUUACCAAGGCAACGAUGCAUAGCCGACCUGAGAGGGUGAUCGGCCACACUGGAACUGAGACACGGUCCAGACUCCUACGGGAGGCAGCAGUAGGGAAUCUUCCGCAAUGGGCGAAAGCCUGACGGAGCAACGCCGCGUGAGUGAUGAAGGUCUUCGGAUCGUAAAACUCUGUUAUUAGGGAAGAACAUAUGUGUAAGUAACUGUGCACAUCUUGACGGUUCCUAAUCAGAAAGCCACGGCUAACUACGUG